rnacentral:rRNA from 1 species
UACGGGGGGGGCAAGCGUUGUUCGGAAUUACUGGGCGUAAAGGGCUCGUAGGCGGCCAACUAAGUCAUACGUGAAAUCCCUCGGCUUAACCGGGGAACUGCGUCUGAUACUGGAUGGCUUGAGUUCGGGAGAGGGAUGCGGAAUUCCAGGUGUAGCGGUGAAAUGCGUAGAUAUCUGGAGGAACACCGGUGGCGAAGGCGGGUCUCUGGGCCGAAACUGACGCUGAGGAGCGAAAGCGUGGGGAGCAAACAGG